rnacentral:lncRNA from 1 species
AUGGGGCUGCUGCCGAACGGCGCGAAGAGGCUGAAGUUGGCCAUGAUGGUCGGCUCCGUCAGCGGCAGCAGCGACAGCUCCUGGGAACAGAGUGGUGAGGGGGGGAGACAGGGGCAAAGGAAGCCCCCCUGCCACACCCCGGCCCGCAGCCAUACCUGCUUCAGCUGCUUCAUGAGGGCCUCGCCUGGACGCAGCCCCUCAUCCUUCCGCAGCUUCUUGCGGGACGCGAGGGCCUCGCCGGGACGCAGCCCCUCAUCCUUCCGCAGCUUCUUGCGGGACGCUGGGAUCCGCUCGUUGCCUUUCUGCACCCGCUUAGGCUUGGUGGGUGCCGGCUUCCUGGCGAUGGAGGGGUCCUGGGGAGGGGCAAGGAAGGGUGAGAUGCGCCAGCACAGCCCCUCACCCACCACGCCCCCAGGCCAGCCUCUCCUGCUCACCUCCCGGCCCAGCAGCAGCGACUGCGGCCGCGGCUCCGGCCCAGUGCUCCGGUUCUCCACGUGCCCAUUGAGCUCGCCCGGGCUCUGCGCUGACAGCUGCACGUUCUUGGCCCGCAGUAGCUUCUGCAGCAGCAGGUGCCCAGCCUCAGAGCGCCCACCUGGGGCCAGCAGGCUGUUGGCUUGGCUGUCCCCAGGGUCCCCAUUGGCCUCUGGUUUCGCUGUCUCGCCUCCAUCCACCUCACACUGUGCCGCUGCCGCCGCCUCUUCCUUCGGCUCCUGCUUCACCAACACCGGGGGGGCUUCGCCUCCUGCAGGGGCCCCCUCUGGCGCAGCCCCAUUGAUGUGGGUCUCAGCAGGGUCAGCUGGGUCCGCCCCAGGCGCAUCAGGGUCCCAGGGGCCGUGUGCUGGGUCGGGAAGGGCAGCGCUUGGCGUGGGAGUCAGCCCUGGUUCUGUGGGGGCCGCAGGGCUGGGGGCCAAGGCCGGGACUCCCGGUGACGUCUUCUUUGGCUCUUGGGGGCUCUGCUCAGGGCUGGCCAGGUGCUGGGGGGCACAGCCCAGGGGUGAGGGGGCUGGUGGCGUGGGGAGGCGGAUGAGGCCGGGCUGGGGGCCACGGGCAGCCAGAGCUGCCUGA